rnacentral:lncRNA from 1 species
UUUUUUUUUGUCAUCUUUGAAUUUCAUUCAACUUAAACGGAAGUACCAUCAUUACAAGCCAACAGUCGACAAGAGUCGCAACUCUUCCGAAGACCAAAGCCGAGAGUUCACAAAUCGAACAUCCCAGAGACCCAAGUUAAAAAAACAUAAAUAAAACCAUUACUCUAGAGACUACUACAAACAAAGGAUUAUGACUUGAAAUACUUAAUGAUCAAGGGAACUCAAACCGAAUACCAUAACAGCACCAGGUCGCCAAUCAUGACCAAGAACCUGAAGACGCACGAGUUGAACUCAGAAACAGAGACUUGAGAAGACCACAAUCCAUCACAGGUCACAACCACAGCCUCACGAGAAACAACACCGGCGGAAACAAUCAACAACCGAGGCGCAAAUGGAGCCAAUAACAACCACUACCGCGUCUGCAAUAAGACCACGGACAACCCAAGAGAGGAAAGGCACAAGGUUGAACCUUGAAACUCCAAGUGGGGAAAACGUCUAAAAGGAUCAGCAGCUCUUGCACGCGGACCCUCGUGUACCCAAACUCAACCAUCUACAAAGCAAGAGAGUGGUCACGUCCUCGCAAGAGAAGAGCCGAAGAUCGAACCCAUUGCUUCGUCCUGAUACCUCACACCAUGCAGAGGAAGCAAGUAGAUGCCUACACAACAGAUUGCCAUCCAAGAGACGAACCCAACAAAAAGACCUUGACAAACACAGAUUACCAACGACUCACGAGAACGAAGAGAAGCUGGAGCACACCUGAUCAAAAGCUACGACCAAAGAAGGAAGAGCGGCUUAAAGACACCAAGUCCGGAACAUAUAGCCUCCCCAUAUCGUAACCCGUUGAGAAGGCACUUCCACACCACUAAACUUCAAAGGAAGACAAGCCACAACCCCAACCACACAAGACGACUAACUAUCAUUAACCCAAAGCUAAGAGUGCCAAUAAAGAGAAACAUCCAGAGCUGAGAGAGUCGUGUCCACGACUGAAGAACAGGACCAGAAGUAUAGAAACAGAUCUGAAAGAACCCCCAAUAUAAAGAGAGAGGAAAACCAUGAAGCACAUAGACCGUCAGAUCCGAGAACCCAUAACCCCUGGCCAAAAAAUCACUCUCCACACUCCUCUGUUCACCUUCACGACGGAUUCCUAGCCCUUUUCAAAUCGAACGAAAACCAGAGACAAGACAAAAGCAAAACACACAGAUCUAAGAAAUUAAAGUGCAAAAAACUCGACUCCAGUGCUAUAGGAGCCACCGGAGUCGAGCAGCGGCGGCCACAA